rnacentral:lncRNA from 13 species
GAAAAAUAGUAGACAGACUAGUGUGUACAAUAGUGAAAAACGAGGUGCCAGAUGACUCCACCCCCGCCCUGCCUUUCUUUUUAAUGCAGUGUUCCCCUCUUGUCACCCAGGCUGGAGUGCAACGGUGGGAUCUUGGUUUAUUGCAACAUCUGCCUCCUCAGUUCAAGCAAUUGUCCUGCCCCAGAGUCCCCAGGACCAGACGUUGCAGGUGUCCAGGCCACCAUGUCCAGCUAACUUUCUGCUGGAGUGCAAUCUUGGCUUAUUGCAACAUCUGCCUCUUUAGUUCAAGUGAUUGUCCUGCUGCAGCCUCCC